rnacentral:rRNA from 1 species
CAGCCGCCGCGGUAAAACGUAGGGGGCAAGCGUUAUCCGGAUUUACUGGGUGUAAAGGGAGCGUAGACGGAAUGGCAAGUCUGAAGUGAAAUGCCCGGGCUCAACCCGGGAACUGCUUUGGAAACUGUCGAUCUGGAGUGUUGGAGAGGUAAGUGGAAUUCCUGGUGUAGCGGUGAAAUGCGUAGAGAUCAGGAAGAACACCGGAGGCGAAGGCGGCUUACUGGACAAAGACUGACGUUGAGGCUCGAAAGCGUGGGAAGCAAACAGGAUUAGAUACCCCAGUAGUCCCUGUCUCUUAUAC